GUCUCCAUUUUCAAUGCCCUAUAUCAGUUUAAAAUGUUUGCCUUUCAUGGUUAUUUUGACUUUCAGUAAGAGCCAGAAGGGACACAGUACUAGAACUGAUUAAAAAGGCGGAUGAGGAACCAGUGUAAUGUUUGUAGAAGUCUGGCUUUCUGCUGGAUAUAGUGGAAGCAGUAGCAUUCACUGUAUCUUUUUAUUUACACUUUACAGACACUCAUGAAAGAGGACUUCCAGAAUUAUUUCAGAGGGUGGCAAAACAAUGGGAUAAGUGUGUUCUAAGGAAGGGGGAAUAAUGGCAAUGUGUAAUUUUCUUUUUCUCAUUGGGUUUAUUGGUACAUUUUGUACCUUUACAUGAGGCAAUGUGUUAUUAACAGUAACCAUUUUUUAAAAAUUUAAACAUUCAUUGUUAUCCUUCUGUAUGUGUGCUUGUGUACAUGCUUGUGUGGGUACAAUGGGAACUGUGCUCAGUUCUGGGGCUGGGGAGUUGAGUGUGGUGCCCCAGCCGCCCAGCCCAGCUCAUGUGCUUGUGUGUUCCAGGUUAUCCUGCGGGACCUGCUCCGCUUCCUGCUGGUCUACUUAGUCUUCCUUUUCGGCUUCGCUAUAGGUAAAGACCCUCUCUGGGCUCUGCUUAUCCCUUCCCUGCCAUGUACAGGCUCCCUAUUUGUCCCCCGGUCUGAGGAACCCCUCCAUCCUUCCCACAGCCCUGGUGAGCCUGAGCCAGGAGUCCCGGGACCCCAAAGUCCCUGCAAGCCUCAAUGCCACAGAGGUUGCUCAGCCUGGGACAGGACAGGGGGAUGAGGUGGCCCCGUACAGGACCAUCCUAGAUGCCUCGUUGGAGCUCUUCAAGUUCACCAUCGGCAUGGGCGAGCUGGCCUUCCAGGAGCAUCUGCGCUUCCGAGGGGUAGUGUUGCUGUUACUGCUGGCCUACGUUAUGCUCACCUACGUCCUGCUGCUCAACAUGCUUAUCGCCCUCAUGAGUGAGACAGUCAACAGCGUUGCCACUGACAGCUGGAGCAUAUGGAAGCUACAGAAAGCCAUCUGUGUCUUGGAGAUGGAAAAUGGCUACUGGUGGUGCAGGAGGAAGAAGCAGCAGUCAGGCGUUCUGCUGACAUUGGGCACUAGGCCAGAUGGAAGCCCUGACGAGCGUUGGUGCUUCAGGGUGGAGGAAGUGAACUGGGCUGCCUGGGAGCAGACGCUGCCCACAGUGUGUGAAGACCCCUCAGGGCAAGGCAUUUCUGGCACCUUUAAGAAUCCCGGACUGACCUCUCAACACAAGGAAGAGCCUUUCUCACAGGAGGACCACCUGCCCCUCCAGGUCCUCCAGUCCCGUUGA
rnacentral:lncRNA from 1 species